rnacentral:rRNA from 1 species
UACGUAGGUGGCAAGCGUUGUCCGGAUUUACUGGGCGUAAAGCGCCCGCAGGCGGCUUGGCAAGUCUGAGGUGAAAUCUCCCGGCUCAACUGGGAGGGUGCCCCGGAAACUGCCAGGCUCGAGGCAGGGAGAGGGAUGUGGAAUUCCCGGUGUAGUGGUGAAAUGCGUAGAUAUCUGAAGGAACAUCAGUGGCGAAAGCGACUUCCUGGACCAAUACUGACGCUCAUGUGCGAAAGCGUGGGGAGCAAACGGG